CAAUAGCGUAUAUUAAAGUUGUUGCAGUUAAAAAGCUCGUAGUUGGAUUUCUGGUAGGAGCGACCGUGCCGAACUUGAUUGUUCGAGUAUUGUGUUGUCUUCAGCCAUCCUCGUGGAGAACUUUUCUAACAUUAACUUGUUGGGAUUGGGACCCGCGUCGUUUGCUGUGAAAAAAUUAGAGUGUUUAAAGCAGGCAUUAGCUUGAAUACAUUAGCAUGGAAUAAUAAGAUAGGACUUUGGUACUAUUUUGUUGGUUUGCAUACCAAAUUAAUGAUCAACAGGAACAGUUUGAGGAUAUUCGUAUGAACAUGUCAGAGGUGAAAUUCUUGGAUUUUGAUCAGACGAACUACUGCGAAAGCAUUUAUCAAGGAUGUUUUCAUUAA
rnacentral:rRNA from 1 species